ensembl:snoRNA U3 Small nucleolar RNA U3
GAGACUCUACUCUCAGUGACCAGUUCCUGAGUUCAUUACUAGAGAAGUUUCUCUGAACGUGUAGAGCACGGGGAGCCAGGAGGGGAAGGUGAGCGUUUUCUCCUGAGCAUGAGGUGGCUUUAGGUAUUGCUUCAUGGCAAUUUGGCAACUGCCAUGUGCCAUUGAAGAUGGUUCCUAUCUUCCUCUGGAAGAGGAAGAGGACACAGUCUGAGUGGU